AUUGAACGCUGGCGGCAUGCUUUACACAUGCAAGUCGAACGGUAACAGGGUGCUUGCACCGCUGACGAGUGGCGAACGGGUGAGUAAUGCGUCGGAACGUGCCGAGUAGUGGGGGAUAACGCAUCGAAAGGUGUGCUAAUACCGCAUACGUACUGAGGUAGAAAGUGGGGGACCUUCGGGCCUCACGCUAUUCGAGCGGCCGACGUCUGAUUAGCUAGUUGGUGAGGUAAAGGCUUACCAAGGCGACGAUCAGUAGCGGGUCUGAGAGGAUGAUCCGCCACACUGGGACUGAGACACGGCCCAGACUCCUACGGGAGGCAGCAGUGGGGAAUUUUGGACAAUGGGCGCAAGCCUGAUCCAGCCAUGCCGCGUGUCUGAAGAAGGCCUUCGGGUUGUAAAGGACUUUUGUCCGGGAGCAAAUGCUGGUGGCUAACAUCCACCGGAGCUGAGAGUACCGGAAGAAUAAGCACCGGCUAACUACGUGCCAGCAGCCGCAGUAAUAC
rnacentral:rRNA from 1 species